rnacentral:rRNA from 1 species
UACGGGGGGGCAAGCGUUGUUCGGAAUUACUGGGCGUAAAGGGCUCGUAGGCGGCCAACUAAGUCGGAUGUGAAAUCCCCAGGCUCAACCUGGGAACUGCGUCUGAUACUGGAUGGCUUGAAUCCGGGAGAGGGAUGCAGAAUUCCAGGUGUAGCGGUGAAAUGCGUAGAUAUCUGGAGGAAUACCGGUGGCGAAGGCGGCAUUCUGGACCGACAUUGACGCUGAGGAGCGAAAGCCAGGGGAGCAAACGGG